GCGCCGGUAGCUCAGCUUGGAUAGAGCGAAAGGUUCCUAACCUUUAGGCCGGGGGCAUGAUUGAGUACAUGCUCUUUCAUCCCGAAUUCGAAUCCUCCCCGGCGCG
rnacentral:tRNA from 1 species